rnacentral:rRNA from 1 species
GACGAACGCUGGCGGCGUGCUUAACACAUGCAAGUCGUACGGUAAGGCCCUUUCGGGGUUACACGAGUGGCGAACGGGUGCGUAACACGUGAGUAACCUGCCCACAACUUUUGGAUAACGCUAGGAAACUGGUGCUAAUACUGGAUAUGUGCUCCUGCUGCAUGGUGGGGGUUGGAAAGCUCCGGCGGUUGUGGAUGGACUCGCGGCCUAUCAGCUUGUUGGUGGGUUAGUGGCCUACCAAGGCGACGACGGGUAGCCGGCCUGAGAGGGUGACCGGCCACAUUGGGACUGAGAUACGGCCCAGACUCCUACGGGAGGAAGAAGUGGGGAAUAUUGAACAAUGGGCGCAAGCCUGAUGCAGAAACGCCGCGGGCGGGAUGACGGUCUUCGGGUUGUAAACCGCUUUCAGCAGGGACGAAGCUUUUUGUGACGGUACCUGCAGAAGAAGCACCGGCUAACUACGUG